CGCUGGCGGCGUGCCUAAUACAUGCAAGUCGAGCGAACAGACGAGGAGCUUGCUCCUCUGACGUUAGCGGCGGACGGGUGAGUAACACGUGGAUAACCUACCUAUAAGACUGGGAUAACUUCGGGAAACCGGAGCUAAUACCGGAUAAUAUAUUGAACCGCAUGGUUCAAUAGUGAAAGACGGUUUUGCUGUCACUUAUAGAUGGAUCCGCGCCGCAUUAGCUAGUUGGUAAGGUAACAGCUUACCAAGGCAACGAUGCGUAGCCGACCUGAGAGGGUGAUCGGCCACACUGGAACUGAGACACGGUCCAGACUCCUACGGGAGGCAGCAGUAGGGAAUCUUCCGCAAUGGGCGAAAGCCUGACGGAGCAACGCCGCGUGAGUGAUGAAGGUCUUCGGAUCGUAAAACUCUGUUAUUAGGGAAGAACAAAUGUGUAAGUAACUAUGCACGUCUUGACGGUACCUAAUCAGAAAGCCACGGCUAACUACGUG
rnacentral:rRNA from 1 species